rnacentral:rRNA from 1 species
UACGGGGGGGGCAAGCGUUGUUCGGAAUUACUGGGCGUAAAGGGCGCGCAGGCGGCUCAUUUUGUCAGGCGUGAAAGCCCCGGGCUUAACCUGGGAACUGCGUUUGAUACGGAUGGGCUAGAGUUCGGGAGAGGAGAGUGGAAUUCCCAGUGUAGAGGUGGAAUUCGUAGAUAUUGGGAAGAACACCGGUGGCGAAGGCGGCUCUCUGGACCGAUACUGACGCUGAGGCGCGAAAGCGUGGGGAGCAAACAGG